UACCCGCAGCACAAGUGGUGGUCAUUAUUAUUGGGCCUAAAGCGUCCGUAGCUGGCCUGUUAGAUGUCUGGGUAAAUCGAUGCGCUCAACGUAUCGAACUCCGGGUAGACCGGCAGGCUUGGGACCGGGAGAGAUGUGAGCUACUCGAGGGGUAGGGGUAAAAUCCUGUAAUCCUUCGGGGAGGACCAGUGGCGAAGGCGUCACAUUAGAACGGCUCCGACAGUGAGGGACGAGGCCCUGGGGCGCAAACCGG
rnacentral:rRNA from 1 species